AGCAGGUCCUGCCAGACCGAAAAACUUUUCCCUUUAGUUUGUGGGGAGUCGGGCAUAAAAUUGAAAUGCAAAUUAAAGCAAAGGAACCACCCUUAGGGAGAGGUUUCUGAAUGGCAAGCCGCAAAGUGAACAAGCCACAGACAUCAAAAGGAUUCCGCGGUUUGCUGUCGGGCACUGAACUUAGUUGGUAGCUUGCUUGAUAGCGUCACUCACUGCCAUCGCUGCGGGCCACGCCUUCGCGCAGCAGAAAGUAGCGCAGACCCUCCAUAGUGUACUGCUGGGCGGCCUGGACGGGAUCCACCACGUUGUGCUUGCUCUUGGACAUCUUCUGACCGUCGACCGUCCAGUGCGAGUGGACGUACAGCUGCUGUGGCGGCUGGAGGCCAGCGGCCAGGAGGAAUGCGGGCCAAUAAAUGCCAUGGAACUUGAGGAUGUCCUUGCCAAUCACCUGCUGGGCUGGUGGCCAGUGAUCCAGAAACUGCAUUGGGAAAAAACCAAUCCCAAUCAGUUGAUUUUCACAACAGUCUUCAAGCUUGAUCUUACCUCCUCAUUGGGAUAUCCCAAGGAGCUAAGAUAGUUGACCAGCGCAUCCAGCCAUACGUACACCGUUUGCGAGUCAUCACCCGGCACCGGUAUGGCCCAGUGGACGCGGUUUGAGGGCCGCGACACGGACACAUCCGGCAGCGGUUCGCUGAGCGUGUCCAACAGAAUCUUCUCGAACUUGGCUGGUCGUAUGCGCGCCUCCUGCUUGACCCAGUGCCGGACAUCGUCCUGGAACUGCGACAGGCGGAACAUGUAGUUGGUCUCCUCCGUCCACUCUACGGGAUGGCCCGACUCUAGAGAGUAGCGCGUGCCACUGGCCUCGUCCAGACGCAGUUGAGAGUCGGUGAGGAAUACCUCAUCGGACACACAGUACCAGCCGCUGUAAGCAGCCGAGUAGAUGUGUCCCCGGGAGUGCAGAGUGCGCUGUGAAUCAAAAAUCGACAUUAAAAUGUUUCGGGAAUCUCCAG